rnacentral:tRNA from 1 species
GCGGGAGUAGCUCAGCGGUAGAGCAUCGCCUUGCCAAGGCGAGGGUCGCGGGUUCGAAUCCCGUCUCCCGCUCCA